GCUAAAAAUCUAGCCCCCCAUCCACCCAAUAAGCCCUGUGAACUAAACACAUAAAUUAAAACAUUCUCAUAUCUUAGUAAAGGCGAUUGAAAAGCAACUAUGGAGCUAUAAAAAUAGUACCGCAAGGGAAAGAUGAAAUAAAAAUGAAAUAAAUUUUAAGCACAAAAAAGUAGAGAUUAACUCUCGUACCUUUUGCAUCAUGGUUUAACUAGUUAAAUCAAGCAAAACGACCUAAAGUUUGACACCCCGAAACUAGGCGAGCUACUUCAGGACAGCUUUAUGAGCUAACCCGUCUCUGUUGCAAAAGAGUGGAGAGAUCCUCAAGUAGCGGUGAUAGACCUAACGAGCCUAGUGAUAGCUGGUUACUCAGGAAAAGAAUUUUAGUCCAACCUAAAGAAUAAUAAAUAAUCUUAGAUAACCCCUUCUUUAGAGUAAUUCAAAUAAGGUACAGCUUAUUUGAAACAGGAUACAACCUAAGCCGAAGGGUAAUUAUUUGUAUAACAAUCAAGUAGGCUUAAGAGCAGCCAUCUUUAAAAUAGCGUCAAAGCUUUAUUGUUUAGACACCCAAUACCAAAAAUAGCCCAGAACCCUCCACCAAUACUGAGUACUUCUAUACACCUAUAGAAUUUUUAAUGUUAAAACUAGUAACAAGAAGAAGACCUUCUCUUUAAUGCGAGUGUAAAUCAUAAAGGACACACCGAUGAACAUUAACAUACAUGAAAACAAAUUAGCAACUCCUCAAGAAAACCCUACUCUGUAUUAUGUUAAUCUAACACAAGAGCAUUACAAGAAAGAUUAAAAGAAAAAGAAGGAACUCGGCAAACAUUAACCUCGCCUGUUUACCAAAAACAUCGCCUCUUGCCCGAAUAUAAGAGGUCCAGCCUGCCCAGUGACUCUGUUCAACGGCCGCGGUAUCCUAACCGUGCGAAGGUAGCGUAAUCACUUGUCCUUUAAAUAAGGACUAGUAUGAACGGCACCACGAGGGUUAUACUGUCUCCUUUUUCCAAUCAGUAAACCUAAUCUCCCCGUGAAGAAGCGGGGAUAAAACUAUAAGACGAGAAGACCCUAUGGAGCUUUAAACUAAGUAACAAUUGCUUAUUCAUCCACACAUUUCAGAAUACUAAUACUUAUACUAGCUACAUGUUUACUAGUUUUAGGUUGGGGUGACCGCGGAGUACAAAACAACCUCCACAUUGAACGGAAUUUAUAUUUCUGAGUUAAGAGUUACAACCCUAAACACCAACAAAUUGACAUUAAUUGACCCAAUAUUUUGACCAACGAACCAAGUUACCCUAGGGAUAACAGCGCAAUCCGCUUAAAGAGCUCCUAUCGACAAGCGGGUUUACGACCUCGAUGUUGGAUCAGGGUAUCCCAGUGGUGCAGCCGCUACUAAAGGUUCGUUUGUUCAACGAUUAAAACCCU
rnacentral:rRNA from 1 species